rnacentral:rRNA from 1 species
AGUGAACGCUGGCGGCAGGCCUAAUACAUGCAAGUCGAACGGCAGCACGGCAGAGCUUGCUCUGUGGGUGGCGAGUGGCGGACGGGUGAGGAAUACAUGGGAAUCUGCCCAGUCGUGGGGGAUAACGUAGGGAAACUUACGCUAAUACCGCAUGCGCCCUUCGGGGGAAAGCCGGGGACCUUCGGGCCUGGCGCGAUUGGAUGAGCCCAUGUCGGAUUAGCUAGUUGGCGGGGUAAUGGCCCACCAAGGCGACGAUCCGUAGCUGGUCUGAGAGGAUGAUCAGCCACGCUGGAACUGAGACACGGUCCAGACUCCUACGGGAGGCAGCAGUAGGGAAUAUUGGACAAUGGGCGCAAGCCUGAUCCAGCCAUGCCGCGUGAGUGAAGAAGGCCCUCGGGUUGUAAAGCUCUUUUGUCCGGAAAGAAAAGCGCCGGGUUAAUACCCUGGUGUCCUGACGGUACCGGAAGAAUAAGCACCGGCUAACUUCGUGCCAGCAGCC